rnacentral:rRNA from 1 species
GACGAACGCUGGCGGCGUGCUUAACACAUGCAAGUCGAACGAAGUGGCGAACGGGUGAGUAACGCGUAAUCAACCUGCCCUUCAGAGGGGGACAACAGUUGGAAACGACUGCUAAUACCGCAUACUGAAGGAGGGGAUUGCGUCUGAUUAGCUAGUUGGAGGGGUAACGGCCCACCAAGGCGAUGAUCAGUAGCCGGUCUGGGGAGAUGAACGGCCAAAUUGGGAAUGAGGAACGGCCCCAGAUCCUUAGGGAGGGAGCAAUGGGGGAUCAUCCGCAAUUGGGGAAAAUCUGGAGGAACAAAGGCGGGGGGUGUAUGACGGCCUUCGGGUUUUAAAGCUCUGUUAAUCGGGACGCGGUACCGAAAUAGAAAGCACCGGCUAACUACGUGCCAGCAGCCGCGGUAAUUC